rnacentral:rRNA from 1 species
CUGCUGCCUUCCGUAGGAGUUUGGGCCGUGUCUCAGUCCCAAUGUGGCCGUCCACCCUCUCAGGCCGGCUACUGAUCGUCGCCUUGGUGGCCGUUACCCC